rnacentral:snRNA from 1 species
AUACUUACCUGGCACAGGAGAUACCGUGAUCACGAAGGCGGUUCUCCCAGGGCGAGGCUCACCAUUGCACUCCGGUGGCGCUGACCCCUGCGAUUAACCCAAAUGUGGUUAACUCGAGUGCGCAAUUUUUGGUAGCGGGGGACUGCGUUCGCGCUAACCCCCU